UAUUGCUGCACUCCUUUGUUCAGACAGCCUAGCAGAUUGUCCGGGCAAUAAAGACUUGUUGUGGUUCUGGUCUCGUCUUGGUUUUCGGCUCUUUUACCUGACAAGGACCUUGUACUUUCCAGAUUUGUCAAAUGUUUUUUCUACCUCUAGUGAAGUGAUCAUAUUGAAAGGAGGAGGAUUUGAAGUCUGUGUCUAUGGACCUUGUACUUGAGAGAGUUUCCUCCUCAGCCUUCUUGAGUGGUGACAGUGACUGCUGGGAAUGCCUAGACCAAGCAGGAUGGACCAGGUACAAACCAGGUGCUCUCUGUCCAAAUACCACAGGGUACAUCAGAGCAGUGCCUUGAUUGAGUCCCCUUGCUGGUGUGUACAUACACAAACUGUGUCCCAUGCAAGACCACAUCAUGUUCUGGGAUUCACAGAAUAAGAAUCUCAUCACUUAUAAAGCACUUCCAUACAUAUCACACAUGUGAUCCUUCUAACACUUCUGCAGUUUUGCAAGAAAAGCGUUAUUAUUCUAAACAUGGAAAAAGGAAACUAAAAAGAUUUUUUUUCUAAAAGUCAUGUCAUUAAUGACUACUAGCAGGACAAGUAUCAGAUCUGAUGCUAAUCCAUUGCUCAUGCUCUUUUCAACUUUCUCAUCGUCAAUGUAAAGGGUUAGGAUUAAAUGAAAAAAGAUCAACUUCUAAAAUUAUGUAAUUUCAUUGUUUCUAGCAAUGUUUCUGGGAGAUACUGUUGAAUGAGUGAUAACUGUCAAAGUGAAUUGUGGUACUGACUUAUGUGGGAGCUACUCUGUUAACCAGUAUUAUCCAAUGUAGCUAGCAAAGGUAGUUUUGUCCUUUAUAAUGACAUAUCAGAAAUUGUUACCACUCUUAUUGUAUGGUACCAUUUAGCCAAUAUAUGAAUUACAAUAAAAUUUUAACUUCUUAUUCUUUAGCUUUAAAAUAUGACUAUAUAUAUUUUCUAUUGUUGAAUUAUAUGAUUAAGGUCCUUUUUAAUAUUUAAUAUGUCAGCAGAAUAUACCUUUCCAUGUGAUUUCCUUGCAGAUGGUUAGCAUAGUUGAUUACUCCCUUACAACUGAAGUGAGUUGAAGUCAUGCUCAGUUGAAGGCAAAGCACCUUGAAUUUAAGAAUUUUUAAUACAGUCCUGGUAUUUCUGGAAGCAAAAUUCAUUUCUGAAGCUGUCAGCUUAAAAAAGUCUUUAAUUAUCUCAGUUUUCCUAGAAGUAAAUAUAGUUAUAACAUUAAGAGCUAGGCUUAAAUGCCUUGUUGAAUGUUUUUGUUUUGUAGCAAAUGCCAACACUAUGUCAUAACAUCUGUAAAAUACAUGAGACAUGAAAUAUGUCUUGUUAUAAACUUUCAGAAAGUGAAUUUAACCUUAACUGACAAAAAACAAGCAGAAAGGUAUUCUAUUAUAACAUGUUUUAUUUAAACACAUAUUUUAAAACCUUUGCUACUCAAAAGACUAAAAAUUUUAAGGCAUAGAAGGCAUAUUUUUACAAGAUAAAAAUAUCAAAUUUUCCCCUAGAAUCUUACUAGAAAUUAAAUAUGGGAAUAAUGAUCAAUAAUUAUCAAAAACUUUUUGUUGGGAACUUUUCUACAUAAUUUUGGGGAAAAAUCAUUUCACAAUUAAAUUAUGAUUAGACCUAGUCUUCUUGCCUAUAGGCCAUCUAUGACAUACCAAAACAUAACUUCAUUUUUUUUUUUUUCAUAACUUCAUUUUUGCCUCUGGUCACAGCUGAGACCUCAGCGGUCCCAUGAUGCUGUGACACUCAAGGGCAAGAUUACAUCGACUGAAGAUAUUCUGGUUUCUUUAUAUCCAAGUAGUAAAAGAAAGGUUUUACCUGGGGAGGGACAAAUUCCUUAUCAUCUUAACUCAUCACACCAGGAUUGUAAGAAUGUCUUUGCUCAUUUUACCAUCCUAAUCAACAUAAGCUCUUUUUUUUUUUUGUACCAGGGAUCAAACUCAGGACCUUGUGUUGUGGAGCCAGA